rnacentral:lncRNA from 1 species
UUAGCCACCGCGAACCAGGAUAAAAUCGCUCGUGUGAUAUUUUCCUUUUCUUUUCUUACACUUCCGAACGUAACUGCCAAUACUCUCGAUACAAGUUCUAAAGAAGGGGUGAAAACUUUUUAAAACGACAUAAAUAUUUUUAAUUGGUGAUUAACCCCCCCCCCCCUUCUAGCUUAAUUAUCCCUAUAUACGGACCUAACAAAUUUAAAACUAUAAAACAGUUUUUAAAUACGAAAAAUAUAAAACAGAACAAUCUUGUGCCUGGAAAACAGAAAACAUAAAUUAAAACCGAACAAUUACCUGAAAACUAAAAGCAAACGUUUUAACGUUCAACCCAACAUAUUUCAUACUCCCUCCGUCCCUCUGAAAUGUAUACGUAUGGAUUGGACACGCAGACUAAGAAAAAUAUAUAAAGUAAUGUAAAGUAAGGAGAAAGAGAAAGAAAAGUGGGUAAAGUAGUGGGACCCAUCAAUAUAUAAUAGAUAGAUUUGAAAAGAUAGUUGAAAGUAGUGGGUGGGUGGGGUUUUUAUAUUAUAAAAUCUUACUAUUUUGGGAAAGUUUUGAAAUGUACAGAAUUGAGUGGGACAUCCAAAAAAGGAAAGUGUAUAGAAUUAAAUGGGACGGAGAGAGUAUAUGCAUUAACAUGGGAAUGUUGUUGACAAGCUAAAACCAAUAUUAAUUGUUGCUUACAAUUAGCUUCUAGCUAGCUUAGCUUUGUAGUUUAUGGUAGUAAUAAUCAGACUAGCUAUGUAUAUGCAGCAGAGAACAUCAUGAUUUCUCAAUGGUGAGAAAUCCCCGUUGCUCCAGUUCACACAGCAUCAGAAGACAACUAGAGUCUAAAGAACAUUUCUUGUCUGGCCGUGCUUGUCCAUUGACUACAACAGUACAGCGGUCUGGAAUGGUCAAGGUAAUUUCCGACACAAAACUACUAAAUCCUUGCCUUUUUUCUAAACCGUCUGUGAAUUCAAUGGGAGAUCUGCGAUGGAAGUGGCCACAUAGUCAAGACAGCCAUAUAAUUUUAAGGCACAAAAGUAUAAACUGUAAAAGUAGAAAAAUAUUUUGGUGUUACUAACAAUUACUAACCUUGACUUUUCCUCGCUGUCUCAAAUUUAGGCAACGGCCACUGUGCUCUCCUGCACACAUCAUACAGAGAGAUUCACGGCCCACCUUUAUUCCGG